rnacentral:rRNA from 1 species
UAGGGAAUCUUCCGCAAUGGGCGAAAGCCUGGCGGAGCAACGCCGCGUGAGUGAAGAAGGAUUUCGGUUCGUAAAGCUCUGUUGUUAGGGAAGAAUGAUUGUGUAGUAACUAUACACAGUAGAGACGGUACCUAACCAGAAAGCCACGGCUAACUACGUGCCAGCAGCCGCGGUAAUACGUAGGUGGCAAGCGUUGUCCGGAAUUAUUGGGCGUAAAGCGCGCGCAGGUGGUUUAAUAAGUCUGAUGUGAAAGCCCACGGCUCAACCGUGGAGGGUCAUUGGAAACUGUUAAACUUGAGUGCAGGAGAGAAAAGUGGAAUUCCUAGUGUAGCGGUGAAAUGCGUAGAGAUUAGGAGGAACACCAGUGGCGAAGGCGGCUUUUUGGCCUGUAACUGACACUGAGGCGCGAAAGCGUGGGGAGCAAACAGGAUUAGAUACCCUGGUAGUCCACGCCGUAAACGAUGAGUGCUAAGUGUUGGUCUCAUAAGAGAUCAGUGCUGCAGCUAACGCAUUAAGCACUCCGCCUGGGGAGUACGACCGCAAGGUUG